GCCUGGUUGGCUCAGUCAGUAUAGCAUGCAACUAUUGAUCACAGGGGUUGUGAGUUCAAGCCUCACAUUGGGCA
rnacentral:tRNA from 1 species